rnacentral:misc_RNA from 1 species
GAUGAAGAACGUAGCGAAAUGCGAUAAGUAGUGUGAAUUGCAGAAUUCAGUGAAUCAUCGAAUCUUUGAACGCACAUUGCGCCCCUCGGUAUUCCGUGGGGCAUGCCUGUUCGAGCGUCAUUUAAACCUUCAAGCUAAGCUUGGUGUUGGGUGACUGUCCGCUUCACGGCGGACUCGCCUCAAAAUUAUUGGCGGCCGGUACAUUGGCUUCGAGCGCAGCAGAAACGCGAACUCGGGCCCGUCGUAUUGGCUCCCAGAAGCUAUCUUCACAAUUUUGACCUCGGAUCAGGUAGGGAUACCCGCUGAACUUAAGCAUAUCAAUAAGCGGAGGA